UUGACUACGUCCCUGCCCUUUGUACACACCGCCCGUCGCUCCUACCGAUUGAAUGAUCCGGUGAAAUGUUCGGAUCGCGGCGACGUGGGCGGUUCGCUGCCCGCGACGUCGCGAGAAGUCCAUUGAACCUUAUCAUUUAGAGGAAGGAGAAGUCGUAACAAGGUUUCCGUAGGUGAACCUGCGGAAGGAUCAUUG
rnacentral:ncRNA from 1 species